rnacentral:rRNA from 1 species
GAUGAACGCUGGCGGCGUGCUUAACACAUGCAAGUCGAACGAUGAAGCCCAGCUUGCUGGGUGGAUUAGUGGCGAACGGGUGAGUAACACGUGAGUAACCUGCCCUUAACUCUGGGAUAAGCCUGGGAAACGGGGUCUAAUACCGGAUAGGAGCGUCCACCGCAUGGUGGGUGUUGGAAAGAUUUAUCGGUUUUGGAUGGACUCGCGGCCUAUCAGCUUGUUGGUGAGGUAAUGGCUCACCAAGGCGGCGACGGGUAGCCGGCCUGAGAGGGUGACCGGCCACACUGGGCCUGAGACACGGCCCAGACUGCUACGGGAGGCAGCAGUGGGGAAUAUUGCACAAUGGGCGCAAGCCUGAUGCAGAGACGCCGCGUGAGGGAUGACGGCCUUCGGGUUGUAAACCUCUUUCAGUAGGGAAGAAGCGAAAGUGACGGUACCUGCAGAAGAAGCACCGGCUAACUACGUG